UCUGUUCUAAUCAGUGUGAAAACUGGUUUUCGCCUUUUGCGAACUUUUUCACUCGCAUUUUUGGGCAUCGGCUGCGGCUAGCUUGCUAGCGGAGGACGAGCGGUCUCCGGGGGCGUUCACCUUUCCCCCGCGAGGCAA
rnacentral:snRNA from 1 species